GUGAGGAAUAUUGGUCAAUGGGCGGGAGCCUGAACCAGCCAAGUCGCGUGAAGGAAGAAGGAUCUAUGGUUCGUAAACUUCUUUUGCAGGGGAAUAACGUGCAGGACGUGUCCUGUUUUGUAUGUACCCUGAGAAUAAGGAUCGGCUAACUCCGUGCCAGCAGCCGCGGUAAUACGGAGGAUCCGAGCGUUAUCCGGAUUUAUUGGGUUUAAAGGGUGCGUAGGUGGUUUGAUAAGUCAGCGGUGAAAGUUUGCAGCUUAACUGUAAAAAUGCCGUUGAAACUGUCGGACUUGAGUGUAAAUGAGGUAGGCGGAAUGCGUGGUGUAGCGGUGAAAUGCAUAGAUAUCACGCAGAACUCCGAUUGCGAAGGCAGCUUACUAAGCUACAACUGACACUGAAGCACGAAAGCGUGGGGAUCAAACAGGAUUAGAAACCCGAGUAGUCC
rnacentral:rRNA from 1 species